rnacentral:tRNA from 1 species
AUCUGUAUAGUUUAAACUAAAUAAGACAUUAAUCUUGUAAAUUAAAAAUAGAUAAUAGGAAACUAUACUUUCUUACAGAUA